UGAAGUAAAAAUAAUUACUAUAGAAACCGAUUUGACUAUUAUAUCCUUAGAUUAAAUAAUCAGGCUUAACGAUUCAGUAAAACUUGUUAUAGAGUUAAAAUCAUUCAAAUAAUUUUAUUUUAUGACUGGUUUUGCUCGAAUUUUACUAGAAUUUUUCAAAAUUUAAAAAAACAUGAUGUCACUUUCAGAGAAUUAUAAUAUCAUACAACUUAUAGAGAUGGGUGAUACAGUUGAAAUUUUAAAAUAAUACUAUAGCUGGUAUAGCCUUGGAAUAAAUGAAACCGAGAUAGGAAAUCCACUUAAUUGGACAACUUAUAGAGGCUGAAAAAACAUACUUAUAAACACUUAAAAGAAGAAAAAGAAGAUAUAUUAAAAAAUAUAAUAUUGAUAACACUUUUAUUGAAAACGUUAAAUUUGUUCAGAAUUUAUACCAUCAUUACAGAUCGAUAACAGGAAUAAUUAUAUAGGCAAAUAUAAAAAUUACUUAUUCAGUAGAUAAUAAUAACAAAUUUUUUUUUUUAAUUUUAACUGUUUUGAA